AGCGAAGCGCAAGCAGAGGUUCUUGACUGAGUGGCGGACGGGUGAGUAACGCGUGGAUAACCUGCCUUUCACAGGGGGAUAACAGCUGGAAACGGCUGCUAAUACCGCAUGAGCCUCUUUUAUCGCAUGACGGGAGAGGGAAAGAGAAAUCGGUGAGAGAUGGAUCCGCGUCCGAUUAGCUAGUUGGAGGGGUAACAGCCCACCAAGGCGACGAUCGGUAGCCGACCUGAGAGGGUGGACGGCCACAUUGGGACUGAGACACGGCCCAAACUCCUACGGGAGGCAGCAGUGGGGAAUAUUGCACAAUGGGGGAAACCCUGAUGCAGCAACGCCGCGUGAGUGAGGAAGUAUUUCGGUAUGUAAAGCUCUAUCAGCAGGGAAUAGAAAAGAAGGUACCUGAAAAAGAAGCCCCGGCUAACUACGUGCCAGCAGCCGCGGUAAUACGUAGGGGGCAAGCGUUAUCCGGAUUUACUGGGUGUAAAGGGAGCGUAGACGGAAAGGCAAGUCAGAAGUGAAAGCCCAAAGCUCAACCAUGGGACUGCUUUUGAAACUGUCAAACUAGAGUACGGGAGAGGUAAGAGGAAUUCCUAGUGUAGCGGUGAAAUGCGUAGAUAUUAGGAGGAACACCAGUGGCGAAGGCGUCUUACUGGACCGAAACUGACGUUGAGGCUCGAAAGCGUGGGGAGCAAACAGGAUUAGAUACCCUGGUAGUCCACGCGGUAAACGAUGAAUA
rnacentral:rRNA from 1 species